UCUUAUCACACCAAUCAUUCCUAAUCCUUGAAGAUUAAUUCUUCUGUGAAAAUAAUCUUUCAAUCUUGGAAAUGAAAUAGCAGGGGCUGGGAGGUGACUCAAGGAGUGACCAUUAUUCUCUGCAGCCAUGGGCUGUGGGCCCUCCGUGGAUGCUGCUGCACGAGAGUGUAGAGACUGGAAUGACAGUGAGGGCAGACCCCCAACGCAGACCACACAGGUAACGGAGGACCCGGGAGACGACAACAUGGAGGAUGACGUGAAUAGGUCCAAAGAUACUGGAGGCACCUAGGAGGGAACUCUAUUAUCUGAAGACAUGAGAAAAGAAUUCACUAUUGGAAUGGGAAAACAAGAUUCAACGUAUUACAAAUAUACAUUCAAAUGUCCAAUCAACUUACACUGUCCUACAUACAUGAUUUGUAUCUACUUUGCAAUUCUAGGAAAUAAAAUAAGAUUCUUAUAAA